UAAAAAUCCACCACUACUUCUUCUAUCUUGAAAUUCAAACCUUUCUAUCUACCUAGCUCCUAUACUUUUGUUUGUUUGAACAAGUUCCUAUAACUUCUAUAGCUAGUGACAUGUAGUAUAUUACUAUAUUCACAUGAGAAGGUGCAUGUUGAGCAUGAUGGAGAAGCAGGGCACGUGCAAUACUAACUUACCAUAGAAUUCACAUUAUUAUUGCUAUGCUUGAUUUCAUAUGGAAGAGUUUCAAGUAUAUCAGCAUAUAUUAGAAAUCAAAUAUUGGUGUUCUAGUAGUUUUUGCAGUUGAUUCUGAUCAUAAAAUAUAUACAUUAUGACUGGAACACUAGUGUUCUUAAUAUAUCAGGGCAUGUGGCUUCUUUUGCUUCAUAAAAUUGCUUACAUUUGCCUGGUACACUGUAAUGUUCUCUAUACUAUUUUCUCGCUAAUGGAGGAGUUAGUUCUUCAUGUGCCCCUCUUCCCCAUCAUGAUGACAGCACCUGAAAUAUUAUAGCAUUUGGAAAUGGGAAAUCUGCUGAAAGCUAAGGAUCUCAUGGAGAAAAUUUUGAUUGGCUUCUAUGUUUCCACACAUUGAAGAAAAUGUGGCGUAUUGUUUUGUUUCUAUUUUUGUUUUGUUUUCAUAAAACUCUAAGGAAAUUAAUGUUAAGGAUCUUCAUGAUAUCCCACGCCAUGAAAUUAACAAGGUCAUUUGCCAAUAAAUCUAUAUAGAAAAACAUUUGUUUUAUGUAGAACAAUGACCUGAGGAAGCUAAUGAAAACUUGGAUGAAGUGGUGGCUCUCACUAGAGACCUUCAAACUGAGUUCAAGUAUAGUGUUGGGUGUUUUUUUUAUUGAGGACAACUUAGCUUUAGCUUCGAAGAUUUCUGGGGGUUGAGUCUCUAUAUUAGUUUUAGUUUAUUUCUUAUCUACCAUCAACUGUACCAGAGACAAUUUUUACAUGUUACUUUUCUAUUUCUCAAGAAUGCUUUGAUUCAUAUAGCGUUUACUCCAACUUCAAUUAUCUAUUACUUCAUCAACUACCAUAAAAUGUGAAUUCUGAUGUUAAAAUAGCUGACUUCUGGGGAAAAUUAUUGCCCUCAAUCAAAGCAUAAGCUUCAAUUUCAUUGUGAUUUGUGAAUAAAAUUUUUGAAACUUUCCCGGUUAG